rnacentral:rRNA from 2 species
UUAAUUUGAGAGUUUGAUCCUGGCUCAGGACGAACGCUGGCGGCGUGCCUAAUACAUGCAAGUCGAACGAACUCUGGUAUUGAUUGGUGCUUGCAUCGUGAUUUACAUUUGAGUGAGUGGCGAACUGGUGAGUAACACGUGGGAAACCUGCCCAGAAGCGGGGGAUAACACCUGGAAACAGAUGCUAAUACCGCAUAACAACUUGGACCGCAUGGUCCGAGUUUGAAAGAUGGCUUCGGCUAUCACUUUUGGAUGGUCCCGCGGCGUAUUAGCUAGAUGGUGGGGUAACGGCUCACCAUGGCAAUGAUACGUAGCCGACCUGAGAGGGUAAUCGGCCACAUUGGGACUGAGACACGGCCCAAACUCCUACGGGAGGCAGCAGUAGGGAAUCUUCCACAAUGGACGAAAGUCUGAUGGAGCAACGCCGCGUGAGUGAAGAAGGGUUUCGGCUCGUAAAACUCUGUUGUUAAAGAAGAACAUAUCUGAGAGUAACUGUUCAGGUAUUGACGGUAUUUAACCAGAAAGCCACGGCUAACUACGUGCCAGCAGCCGCGGUAAUACGUAGGUGGCAAGCGUUGUCCGGAUUUAUUGGGCGUAAAGCGAGCGCAGGCGGUUUUUUAAGUCUGAUGUGAAAGCCUUCGGCUCAACCGAAGAAGUGCAUCGGAAACUGGGAAACUUGAGUGCAGAAGAGGACAGUGGAACUCCAUGUGUAGCGGUGAAAUGCGUAGAUAUAUGGAAGAACACCAGUGGCGAAGGCGGCUGUCUGGUCUGUAACUGACGCUGAGGCUCGAAAGUAUGGGUAGCAAACAGGAUUAGAUACCCUGGUAGUCCAUACCGUAAACGAUGAAUGCUAAGUGUUGGAGGGUUUCCGCCCUUCAGUGCUGCAGCUAACGCAUUAAGCAUUCCGCCUGGGGAGUACGGCCGCAAGGCUGAAACUCAAAGGAAUUGACGGGGGCCCGCACAAGCGGUGGAGCAUGUGGUUUAAUUCGAAGCUACGCGAAGAACCUUACCAGGUCUUGACAUACUAUGCAAAUCUAAGAGAUUAGACGUUCCCUUCGGGGACAUGGAUACAGGUGGUGCAUGGUUGUCGUCAGCUCGUGUCGUGAGAUGUUGGGUUAAGUCCCGCAACGAGCGCAACCCUUAUUAUCAGUUGCCAGCAUUAAGUUGGGCACUCUGGUGAGACUGCCGGUGACAAACCGGAGGAAGGUGGGGAUGACGUCAAAUCAUCAUGCCCCUUAUGACCUGGGCUACACACGUGCUACAAUGGAUGGUACAACGAGUUGCGAACUCGCGAGAGUAAGCUAAUCUCUUAAAGCCAUUCUCAGUUCGGAUUGUAGGCUGCAACUCGCCUACAUGAAGUCGGAAUCGCUAGUAAUCGCGGAUCAGCAUGCCGCGGUGAAUACGUUCCCGGGCCUUGUACACACCGCCCGUCACACCAUGAGAGUUUGUAACACCCAAAGUCGGUGGGGUAACCUUUUAGGAACCAGCCGCCUAAGGUGGGACAGAUGAUUAGGGUGAAGUCGUAACAAGGUAGCCGUAGGAGAACCUGCGGCUGGAUCACCUCCUUUCUAAGGAA